rnacentral:rRNA from 1 species
UCGCUCCUACCGAUUGAGUGAUCCGGUGAACCGUUCGGACCGUGGGUUCCCUUGUGGAGUCCGUGGAAAGUCCAGUAAACCACAUCACUUAGAGGAAGGAU